rnacentral:rRNA from 1 species
UACGAAUGGAGCGAGCGUUGUUCGGAAUCACUGGGCGUAAAGCGUGCGCAGGCGGUUAUGAAAGUCAGAAGUGAAAGCCCAGGGCUUAACCCUGGAAUUGCUUUUGAAACUCCAUGACUAGAGUACUGGAGGGGUUGGCGGAAUUUCGAGUGUAGCAGUGAAAUGCGUAGAUAUUCGAAGGAACACCGAUGGCGUAGGCAGCCAACUGGACAGUAACUGACGCUCAUGCACGAAAGCGUGGGGAUCAAACAGG